ensembl:lncRNA
GGCAUACCCGGCUUCAUCCCGCCGGGUAGGAGCUGGAGGAGGGGUAACUGCCUCUCCCCGGGUGGCAGAUGACCCACAAUUGUGUACAGCCCCUCAGGUGUGAGCUGAACCACAAUUGGGGGCACCUCCUGAGGUGGGAUCAGACCCACUGUUGGGGACACCUCCUGAGGUGGGAGAGGGCCCACAGUUGGGGGUACCCCCUGAAUUGGGAGGUGACCCACCGUUGGGGGCACCCCCUGAGGUAGGUUCAGACCCACCGCUGGGAUCACCUCCUGAGGUGGGAGCGGGCCCACAGUUGCGGGUACCCCCUGAAUUGGGAGCUGACCCACAGUUGGGGGUACCCCCUGAGGUGGGAACGGGCCUACAGUUUGGGGCAUUGCCCCAGCUGGCAGCUGAAGCACAGUUGGGUGCAUUGCCCCAGGUGGUGGGAGCUGAGCCACCAUGGAGGGCAGCCCCUGUGGUGGGAUCAGACCCACCAUUGGGGCUACCCCCUGAGGUGGGAGCAGGCCUACAGUUUGGGGUACCCCCUGAGGUAGCAGCUGACCCACAGUUUGGGGCAUUGCCCCAGGUGGUGGGAGCUGAGCCACCAUGGAGUGCAGCCCCUGUGGUGGGAUCAGAUCCACCACUGGGACUACCCCCAGAGGUGGGAGCUGACCCCCAGUAUAGGGCAUUGCCCCAAGGGGCAGCUCAGUCAUAGUUUGGGGCAUUGCCCCAGCUGGCAGCUGAGCCACAACUGGGGGUGUUGCCCCAGCUGGCAGUUGAAGCACAGUUUGAGGUAUCGCCCCAGGUGGCAGCUGCGCUCCCUGUCCCUGCACACCCGGUACCCCCGGCUGGACAGAGGCCUGAGGCACCAUGGAGGUGACAUUGGGGGCAGGGAUGGGCUGGAAGGAUAC